UACGAAGGGUGCAAGCGUUGUUCGGAUUUAUUGGGCGUAAAGGGCGUGUAGGCGGAAUCAUAAGUCAGGUGUGAAAUCUCGGGGCUCAACUCCGAAACUGCGCCUGAAACUGUAAUUCUAGAGUCUUGGAGAGGGAGACGGAAUUUCUCAUGUAGGGGUAAAAUCCGUAGAGAUGAGAAGGAACACCAGAGGCGAAGGCGGUCUCCUGGACAAGUACUGACGCUGAGGCGCGAAAGCGUGGGGAGCAAACAGG
rnacentral:misc_RNA from 1 species